GACGAACGCUGGCGGCGUGCUUAACACAUGCAAGUCGAACGGUAAGGCCCUUCGGGGUACACGAGUGGCGAACGGGUGAGUAACACGUGGGUGAUCUGCCCUGCACUUCGGGAUAAGCCUGGGAAACUGGGUCUAAUACCGGAUAGGACUCCGGACUGCAUGGUCUGGGGUGGAAAGCUUUUGCGGUGUGGGAUGGGCCCGCGGCCUAUCAGCUUGUUGGUGGGGUGAUGGCCUACCAAGGCGACGACGGGUAGCCGGCCUGAGAGGGUGACCGGCCACACUGGGACUGCGAUACGGCCCAGACUCAAACGGGAGGCAGCAGUGGGGAAUAUUGCACAAUGGGCGCAAGCCUGAUGCAGCGACGCCGCGUGAGGGAUGACGGCCUUCGGGUUGUAAACCUCUUUCAGCAUCGACGAAGCGAAAGUGACGGUAGGUGCAGAAGAAGGACCGGCCAACUACGUGCCAGCCGCCGCGGUAA
rnacentral:rRNA from 1 species